GGACUACUCGGGUUUCUAAUCCUGUUUGCUCCCCAUGCUUUCGCGCCUCAGCGUCAGUAUGAAUCCAGGAAGCCGCCUUCGCCACUGGUGUUCUUUCCGAUAUCUACGCAUUUCACCGCUACACCGGAAAUUCCACUCCCCUCUAUUCUACUCUAGCCAUACAGUAUUAUAUGCAGUUCCCAAGUUAAGCUCGGGGAUUUCACAUCUAACUUAUAUAACCGCCUACGCGCCCUUUACGCCCAGUAAUUCCGAUUAACGCUCGCACCCUCUGUAUUACCGCGGCUGCUGGCAC
rnacentral:rRNA from 1 species